CCAAGGGGACUGCACUGAAUCAUAGUUGUGUCAACUAUGAAUAGUAAGAGAUAAAUAAUGAUAUUAUCUUACCUAUAAGUGUCGUCUAAAUACUAGUGCCAGAAGACUCGGUAAGGCUAGAGACGCAAACGUUAAUCAUCUUUAACAGGCGUAAAGGGUUUGUAUGCUGCUUUAAAAAUUUAAUAAUUAUUCCUUAGUCUUUCCAAAAAAACGAACAAUUAUUAAAAUGAAUUAAAGCUUGAAUCAAGAAGAGGUUAAAUUCAAAUAAUAUUUAGAUUUUAUAUUAGGGUUGACAACUGCAAAACCUAAGUAGAAUAUUAAUGGCGAAAGCUUUUUUCUAUUACUGAUUGACGCUGAAAAACUAAGGGGAGGAAAGAAAAAAGGAUUAGAGACCCUCGUAUCCCUCUCUAUCAACGAUGAAUGGUAGUUAUUAGAUUUAAAAAACUAAAAACGAUGUUAACACGAAAACCAUUCCGCCUUGUGAGUACGACUGCAAAGUUGAAAACAAAAAAAUUAGUCGGUUAAGCAUCAAGUUCC
rnacentral:rRNA from 1 species